CAGCCGCCGCGGUAAUACGUAGGUCCCGAGCGUUGUCCGGAUUUAUUGGGCGUAAAGCGAGCGCAGGCGGUUAGAUAAGUCUGAAGUUAAAGGCUGUGGCUUAACCAUAGUACGCUUUGGAAACUGUUUAACUUGAGUGCAAGAGGGGAGAGUGGAAUUCCAUGUGUAGCGGUGAAAUGCGUAGAUAUAUUGAGGAACACCGGUGGCGAAAGCGGCUCUCUGGCUUGUAACUGACGCUGAGGCUCGAAAGCGUGGGGAGCAAACAGGAUUAGAUACCCGUGUAGUCCCUGUCUCUUAUACA
rnacentral:rRNA from 1 species